GGGGCUGUAGCUCAGCUGGGAGAGCGCCUGGAUCGCACCCAGGAGGUCAGGGGUUCGAGCCCCCUCAGCUCCA
rfam:Gemmatimonadetes bacterium RIFCSPLOWO2_02_FTLL_71_11 rifcsplowo2_02_scaffold_10341, whole genome shotgun sequence.